CAGCCGCCACGGUAAUACAGAGGGUGCGAGCGUUAAUCGGAUUUACUGGGCGUAAAGCGUGCGUAGGCGGCUUCUUAAGUCGGAUGUGAAAUCCCCGGGCUCAACCUGGGAACUGCAUCCAAAACUGGCAAGCUAGAGUACGGUAGAGGGUGGUGGAAUUUCCUGUGUAGCGGUGAAAUGCGUAGAUAUAGGAAGGAACACCAGUGGCGAAGGCGACCACCUGGACUGAUACUGACACUGAGGUGCGAAAGCGUGGGGAGCAAACAGGAUUAGAUACCCGAGUAGUCCCUGUCUCUUAUAC
rnacentral:rRNA from 1 species